rnacentral:rRNA from 1 species
CUUACGGGAGGCAGCAGUCGGGAAUUUUGGGCAAUGGGGGCAACCCUGACCCAGCAACGCCGCGUGAGCGAUGAAGGCCUUCGGGUCGUAAAGCUCUGUCGGGAGGGAAGAAGGCUCUCGGGGUGAAUAAUCCCGGGGGAUUGACGGUACCUCCAAAGGAAGCGCCGGCUAACUCCGUGCCAGCAGCCGCGGUAAUACGGAGGGCGCAAGCGUUGUUCGGAGUGAGUGGGCGUCUUGCGCGUGUGGGUGUGAAAGCCCGGGGCCUAACCCCGGAACUGCACUCGAAACUGCCUCGCUAGAGUCUCGGAGAGGGUGGUGGAAUUCCCGGUGUAGUGGUGAAAUACGUAGAUAUCGGGAGGAACACCAGCGGCGAAGGCGGCCACCUGGACGAUGACUGACGCUGAGACGCGAAAGCGUGGGGAGCAAACAGGAUUAGAUACCCUAGUAGUC